AGGUAUCUUGGUUAAAUCAGAACAUUAGUGCUGGAAAUGGCCUUAAAGAUAUCUGGCCACUUAUGGAAGCAAGAUGAUAUGCUCUGCCAACACAGAGGGAAGGCAAGGGCUUCCUUUUCCAUGGCCCCAGGUAAGACAUAUGUUUUGACUGAAUUACAUGUCCACAACCCGAGGUCAGAGUUGUGGGUGAGGGUGGGAUAAACAUUUUGGGGAUCAUAUUUGGCCAAGAGUCGGAGAAAUGAAGUUCUUGAAGGAAAUUAGGAUACUGCUUCUGGAAGAAACAGGGAAAUGGAUGGUUAGGAGUUUCUCACUACUAGAGAGAAAGUUCUCGGGUUUUGUUUUGAUUGUUUGUGGUGCCUUUAAGACAUUCAUGAAAUAGUUGAUGGUUAAUCUCAGAGGAGAGCUCUGGGAUGAUUUUCAUAAAAGUAUCAUUGAAAUUAAUGAUAUGGGUGAAAUCAACUAGGGAGAAGAGUACACAAUGAGAAAAAAACCAAUGGACAAGUGAUGAGGAAUUCCAACAGGAAGUUGGAAUUCUCCUAGAUAAAAGAGAAUUGACUCUGAAAAUAGAAGGUAAAAUAGCCAGAGAAGCAGGAAGAAAUCAAGAAAGACUUGUGAAACACAAUGGCUGUUUUCUUGGAAUUUAGUCUAAUAACCAGGCA
rnacentral:lncRNA from 1 species